UAUGUUUAUAUUUGUGUAGUCUCUCUCUCUCUCUCUCUCUCAUGCUAUUCUUUAUCUUUUAAACAUUCUUGUUUAUCUCUUCUUCUUUGCAUGUCCAAAUCUCAGUUUUUUUUUGUAAAUUUCAAAAGAAAAUUCAAUACAAUCCAAUCCAAGAAUGUUUGUUUUUCCUCAAGAGGUAUUCGAGGUAUGAAAACUAGUUUUUGCUACUAGGUCACAUGCAUAAAGAACAUGUUAGUUUUGAGUGUGAUUACACGGCGGCGCGUGCGUGGACUCGUCUUUGGAAGAAGUGGGUGGGCCAUUUCUGUUUUCACAUGCAAGGGUUGUUCCCAAGGAACAAUCAAGGGUCGCUUGGGAUCAUGAACUUAGAACCCGCCGUCUCUUCCACCGCUCUCCAUCAAAACUUUUAGGUAUAUGGUAAAACAAAGCUCCUUAUAUCAUCUUUAAAUCUAUUUUGAACAAAUACCUUAUUUUGAAGAAAAAAAAAACAAAUAAUAAAAAUAUGAAAACUCAAUUUUUAUGAUUAGAAACUAAAAUAUCAGUAGUUUUUAAAUCAAUAGAUGGAAAAAAAAACAUGCACUUUUAAAAUGCGGGUCAAAAUCUAGUUUUAGUUGAAAAAGAAUAGAGAAUCUCUAUAAUAUAUAUUGUGUUUGUUCCAAUGUAUUCUUAUACAAUAAUAUUACUCGAAAUUUUGAGUUAAAAUAUAAAUCAUUACUUAUUUUCCUAAUAUAGAAAAAUAGCAAUUUUAUUUUAGGAAAAUAAAUAAAAUAGAUUACAGUGGAUUUACCUUUACAUACUGUUACAUUUUAUUCAUCUUUCUUCUCCUUUUAAAAGGAGUAAUCGUUUGAAAAGAUUAACAAUGAGUGAAUUUUGCUGUGCAUGGUCAAGACGUGGUGAUGUUUCCAUAACAAGCUUUUAUCGUCAGUUACCAAUAUAUGAGCUGAAAGGCACAUUCUUAUUUUGAAUAUAUUGAAUGUUUUCGAGGAAAUCCGGUGAUGGACAAUGAUCUCUAA
rnacentral:lncRNA from 1 species